GUCUACAGCCAUACUACCCUGAACACGCCAGAUCUCGUAUGAUCUCGGAAGCUAAGCAGGGUCAGGCCUUGUUAGUACUUGGCUGGGAGACCGCCUGGGAAUACUGGGUGCUAUAGGCU